UUUCCGUAGGUGAACCUGCGGAAGGAUCACUAGUGAAAUGGCGCCCGCGCAGGGCUGCCCACUUCAUCCUUACCCUGUGAAAACGGUCUCUUUUUAAACUCAGAGUGGCGAAUGUAAAUCAUACUAAACAAAACAAAGAGUGGCGAAUGUAAAUCAUACUAAACAAAAUAAAACUUUCAGCAACGGAUCUCUUGGCUCCCGCAUCGAUGAAGAACGCAGC
rnacentral:misc_RNA from 1 species